GGGGAAUCUUCCGCAAUGGACGAAAGUCUGACGGAGCAACGCCGCGUGAGUGAUGACGGCCUUCGGGUUGUAAAGCUCUGUUAAUCGGGACGAAAGGUCCUCUUGCGAAUAGUUAGAGGAAUUGACGGUACCGGAAUAGAAAGCCACGGCUAACUACGUGCCAGCAGCCGCGGUAAUACGUAGGUGGCAAGCGUUGUCCGGAAUUAUUGGGCGUAAAGCGCGCGCAGGCGGAUCAGUUAGUCUGUCUUAAAAGUUCGGGGCUUAGCCCCGUGAUGGGAUGGAAACUGCUGAUCUAGAGUAUCGGAGAGGAAAGUGGAAUUCCUAGUGUAGCGGUGAAAUGCGUAGAUAUUAGGAAGAACACCAGUGGCGAAGGCGACUUUCUGGACGAAAACUGACGCUGAGGCGCGAAAGCCAGGGGAGCGAACGGGAUUAGAUACCCCGGUAGUCCUGGCCGUAAACGAUGGGUACUAGGUGUAGGAGGUAUCGACCCCUUCUGUGCCGGAGUUAACGCAAUAAGUACCCCGCCUGGGGAGUACGACCGCAAGGUUG
rnacentral:rRNA from 1 species